GAGUUUGAUCCUGGCUCAGGAUGAACGCUGGCGGCGUGCCUAAUACAUGCAAGUCGAGCGAACAGACGAGGAGCUUGCUCCUCUGACGUUAGCGGCGGACGGGUGAGUAACACGUGGAUAACCUACCUAUAAGACUGGGAUAACUUCGGGAAACCGGAGCUAAUACCGAAUAAUAUAUUGAACCGCAUGGUUCAAUAGUGAAAAACGGUUUUGCUGUCACUUAUAGAUGGAUCCGCGCCGCAUUAGCUAGUUGGUAGGGUAACGGCUUACCAAGGCGACGAUGCGUAGCCGACCUGAGAGGGUGAUCGGCCACACUGGAACUGAGACACGGUCCAGACUCCUACGGGAGGCAGCAGUAGGGAAUCUUCCGCAAUGGGCGAAAGCCUGACGGAGCAACGCCGCGUGAGUGAUGAAGGUCUUCGGAUCGUAAAACUCUGUUAUUAGGGAAGAACAAAUGUGUAAGUAACUAUGCACGUCUUGACGGUACCUAAUCAGAAAGCCACGGCUAACUACGUG
rnacentral:rRNA from 1 species